rnacentral:tRNA from 1 species
UUCUAAUGUGGCAGAAUAGUGCAAUGGAUUUAAAUCCCAGAUAUAAAGUAAUUUCUUUUUUUAGAA